UGUUUUCACAGCCUCAGCCCCCCCCCCCCACACACACACACACACACACACAAACAAAGAGGCGUUAGGCUGAGACGCUGAAAGUCCGGAUUUAAAGUGCAGAAAAUUAAGCCAUUGAAUCUGCCUGUCCAUGACGUACAAAGACACACUAUGAGCCAGUAUGAUCCGACCAGACCUUACAUCAGCAUUGAGGAGUUGUCGGAGAAGAAAGAGGCUGAUUGAAGCGGGACAGAUGACAUGGAUCCAUCCUUCCACAGCCAGGAGCACACCGACCUGUGUCCCACACUUCAUAUAAGACUGGAAGCUACACUGGAUCUCACAGCUACACACCACAGACGUCUACACACUGGAGAAGAUUCAGACAGAGUCCCACAAAGAAGUCAUGACCCAGAGGCUGCAGAGAAACAUUUCAAGCCUCAUCUGAGUUUUUGUACAAUAUUUUUGCUGUAUGUAAAUAAAGCUUUCACUCCACAUAUA